AGCAGCCGCGGUAAUUCCAGCUCCAAUAGCGUAUAUUAAAGUUGUUGCAGUUAAAAAGCUCGUAGUUGAAUUUCGGGGUCAGUAGGUCGGUCGUGCUUCGGUACGUACUGGCGUCAUUGAUUUCUCCCUUCUGACGAACCAUGAUGUCAUUAAUUUGGUGUUAUGGGAAAUCAGGACUGUUACUUUGAAAAAAUUAGAGUGUUUAAAGCAGGCUCACGCUUGAAUACAUUAGCAUGGAAUAAUGAAAUAGGACGUUCGAUCCUAUUUUGUUGGUUUUAGGAUCAACGUAAUGAUUAAUAGGGAUAGUUGGGGGCAUUAGUAUUCAAUUGUCAGAGGUGAAAUUCUUGGAUUUAUUGAAGACUAACUACUGCGAAAGCAUUUGCCAAGGAUG
rnacentral:rRNA from 1 species